AUAAGAUAAUAAAUUACGACCUAAUUAGGCUCAUUAGAUUAAUCUCGCAAUUUAUAAGUAAAUUAUGCAAUUGGUUUUUUAUUUCAUCUAGAUUUAAUAGUUCAUGCAUUAUGCUGCAACAUUCAAUGUGAUAAUUUUGAAAUUUUGAAUUUUGCAUCUAAUGAAGGCUUUGAUCGAUAAAUUUACAGCUACGUUCCAAACGUGGAAAUCGGGCUAUGCGACGGCGAGGCGAGCAGACCCAGUCAAUCAGUCAGUCACCGUCGCACCACGGCCGCAGUUGGUGGCGGCGCGCCACCGCGGAGAACAAGUGCCAGUCGACUCGGUCAAGCACGGCACAGAUUCCAGUGGCGAUGUGCGUGCCCGCCCAAUGCCGGCACGGCGACGUCCCAUCUCCUUCGCUUUUUCCACUUGCACCUCCGGCGACCGCCGCUGCCACGAUCAAGAAGUCAGAUCCGACUACCAGCUGCUCGCCGCCACCGCACCUAAAUCGUCUUGCUGCUCUCCGGCCUGGAUCCAGCAUCCAGAAUUCCGUGCUCUCCGGCGGCCACCUACUAUCAUUUUAGCGAGGCCGACCGUCCACCUCGUCCGGCCCUGGUUUCGUGCUGCCUCCUCUUCUGUUCCCGUCGGGUGUACACGGCCGUGCACACACAGCACGUCCUGCAAUUAGCACUCUGCAAGGCAGCAUCUCGUCUCCAUCCAACAAGACUAGCUGGGCCGUGCAGUGAUGCCUUCUGCAGUUCUGCUUUGCUUGGAUCAACUAAGAGCCGCCGCUUUGAGCAGGUGAUAUCAUACUUUGGGAACCUUCAAUUUGUUGGCUGGCAAGCUCUGAAUAGGAUAAACUAUGUAUUGGAUGGUCUGUGGUAUCAGGUUCUUCCUCUGGUUCCUGCUUUUGAUGAGCACCUCAUCUUUUUGUUCUGGUUCUGAACUUGAUGUAAGAUGCUUGAAGUCUCUACAGAGAUCAGUGAUUGAUUCUAGGGGCGUAUUAGAAUCCUCAUGGAAUUUUAGCAGCUUCAUAUGCUUCUUCACUGGCGUGGAAUGCUCUGGAACGAGUCUGGUGAAGAAGUGAGGGUUCUCUCGCUGCGUCUCAGCAACAUGGGCCUUGAAGGCCAAUUUCCUCAAGGGCCCAUCCCUUCCGACAUUGCAAGGCAGCUGCCCUAUUUGUCAACUCUGGACCUUUCAGACAAUAUUUUUUCAGGUGAAAUCCCUCCUGGCAUCUCAAAUAUGACAUAUCUGAACGUCCUGACAUUCAGCACAACCAACUCAGCGGUCAAAUUCCAAGAGACUUCGAUGAGCUUCGGUUAAGAUCGCUCAAUGUCGCAGACAACCAGUUGUCUGGGCUUAUCCCUUCGUCUUGGUCCAAGUUCCCGGUUUCGAGCUUCUCUGGUAAUCAAGGGCUCUGCGGUCCACCGUUGGAUGAUUGUGCGGAUACAAAGCAAGCGAGUCUGAUUCGUACAUCAUCAAUGACAUGAUCAAAGACGACUUCAUUGUUGUCGGCGCGGCUGCGGGGGUCGUGGUGGGAUUCGUGGUGGCGUUCUACUUCCCGCACUUGUUCGUCUUCUCCCAAAAGCUCCAUCCAUAUGUCUACCGCAUCUGUUGAUAUGUUACAUGAAACUUUUUCCCCGCACGAAAAAAUAACUGUGAUCUGCACGACUUGUUAAAACUAUCCACUGAUUGUACUUCUUAUUCAAAUCAGUUAUGCCUUCUGAUAGUACUUCCAAUCAUGUUCAAUUUAACAUUGGUCUU